rnacentral:rRNA from 1 species
AGCGAACGCUGGCGGCAGGCCUAACACAUGCAAGUCGAACGAACCCUUCGGGGUUAGUGGCGGACGGGUGAGUAACACGUGGGAACGUGCCUUUAGGUUCGGAAUAACUCAGGGAAACUUGUGCUAAUACCGAAUGUGCCCUUCGGGGGAAAGAUUUAUCGCCUUUAGAGCGGCCCGCGUCUGAUUAGCUAGUUGGUGAGGUAAUGGCUCACCAAGGCUACGAUCAGUAGCUGGUCUGAGAGGAUGACCAGCCACAUUGGGAUUGAGACACGGCCCAAACUCCUACGGGAGGCAGCAGUGGGGAAUCUUGCGCAAUGGGCGAAAGCUUGACGCAGCCAUGCCGCGUGGAUGAUGAAGGUCUUAGGACUGUAAAAUCCUUUCACCGGUGAAGAUAAUGACUGUAGCCGGAGAAGAAGCCCCGGCUAACUUCGUGCCAGCCGCCGCGGUAACAC